rnacentral:rRNA from 1 species
GACGAACGCUGGCGGCGUGCUUAACACAUGCAAGUCGAACGGAAAGGCCCUGCUUUUGUGGGGUGCUCGAGUGGCGAACGGGUGAGUAACACGUGAGUAACCUGCCCUUGACUUUGGGAUAACUUCAGGAAACUGGGGCUAAUACCGGAUAGGAGCUCCUGCUGCAUGGUGGGGGUUGGAAAGUUUCGGCGGUUGGGGAUGGACUCGCGGCUUAUCAGCUUGUUGGUGGGGUAGUGGCUUACCAAGGCUUUGACGGGUAGCCGGCCUGGGAGGGUGACCGGCCACAUUGGGACUGCGAGACGGCCCAGACUCCUACGGGGGGCAGAAGGGGGGAAUAUUACACAGUGGGCGGGAGCCUGAUGCAACAACGCCGCGUGCGGAAUGACGGCCUUCGGGUUGUAAACCGCUUUCGCCUGUGACGAAGCGUGAGUGACGGUAAUGGGUAAAGAAGCACCGGCUAACUACGUG